UACGUAGGGGGCGAGCGUUGUCCGGAACGAUUGGGCGUAAAGGGCGCGUAGGCGGCUUGUCAAGUCUGGAGUGGAAGUCCUAUUUUCAAGGUAGGAAUUGCUUUGGAAACUGGCAAGCUUGAGUGCAGGAGAGGUCAUCGGAAUUCCCGGUGUAGCGGUGAAAUGCGUAGAGAUCGGGAGGAACACCAGUGGCGAAGGCGGGUGACUGGACUGCAACUGACGCUGAGGCGCGAAAGUGUGGGGAGCAAACAGG
rnacentral:rRNA from 1 species